AUGUAGAUAGCACAGCCCGUUCCUGUGGUGCCACAUGGCUGUACCAGUGUCUGGUAUUUCUAAGUAGGGAGUGUCCUGACCCCAGGUUAAACAUAGCCCAGCACAGAACCACCUCACUUGGCACUCAGUCAGAUCUACAGAGGGCCCAGCAGGAUGAAAGACAGCACAGCAGGUGUGGGGCAGAGUCUGGCCUGCACUUGCAAGGCUGCAGAGGAGAACGUGGGCCUGGCUCUGCACAUUUGAGAUGCCACCCUAGGGGCUCCCCACCCUCAGCCCUCAUGACUUGUUAAAUCCUGUCAAGAAGCAAGCUUGAACCAGAUGUGCUGUCUGUCACACACCGUCAGUCCCUGAGCUCGAGAGGCAGAUGGACAAAAACAAGCAACAAAUACCAAGUGAGCUUGAUUGACUCUGACCUGCAGAAGCCUUCCUAGAUCAUGAACUGCCUCCCCAGGGUGCUUCCCUCACAGCCAAUUGCUUGUUUGCUUUUAAAAUUAUGUGUGUGUGCCAGAUGUGAUGGUACAUGCCUCGGGCAGAGGCAGGUGGGUCUCUAUAAGUUCUAGGCCAGCCUGGUCUACAGAGAGUUCCAGGACAGCCAGGACAAGCCCUGUCUUGACCCUGCCCCCCAAAAAUGUGUAUGUGAUGGGGUGUGUGCAUUUGAGCGCAGGGCCUGCAGAGGCCGCGUAGGUCCGUCUCCCUGGAGCUGGAGUUAUAGUGGACGUGAGCCACCUGAUGUGGGUUCUGGGAAUCUGGGCUAACUGCUGAGCCAUCUCACCAGCCCUUUGCUCUUAAUCUCUUUAGGCAGAGUUUCAUGUUGUCCAAGCUGGUCUUGAACUGCCUCCUGGCUGAGAUCACUGCCAUGUGACAGCGUGCUCAGUUUAUAAAACUGACCGUGUUCACAUCUAUAGAUCAGUGGUUUUUAGAGUAUCCUCAGAGCUGUACAAUCAUUGCCAUUUCCAGAGGUCCCCCCAGAAGUUUAUUUCAGGCCUGGGGUGCAGUCAGCAGUAAACAUUGGUGAGCAUGGAGCCCUGGGGUCUACCCCAAGCCCUGGGAAAAAUACUUUUUAAAAACAGUAAAGUUUGCUUAUAGAAAAAAAAAAUCUCAGUAGUGGCAGAUGACUGGGAUGAGUGAGGCUGGAUCACCAGCAAUAAAAUUAUGAGACUACAAAAGUCAGAAUGUGAGAGCUACAGAGCAGUGGACACGGGGCUGGCCAGCAUUCCAGCCUGACAAGUGGGCAUUGACCAGCCCACAUCUGGUGAAGGAUCUGAGAACCCCUGGGGCAAGAGUGGUGGACCUAAGUCUUCAGGAAGAAGAAAACCCCUUUCACUUCCCUGGGAGUCUGAUUGCCUUCCUAGACUGCUUAAGUGCCUGGUCCACAGGACAGGCUAAAAAUAAAAGCCCCACCCUGGCAUCUGGCAGGAGACUACCCUCUUUGGGCACCAACUCCAGGCAUAACAGUGACAUUCAGUUUCACCUUAUAAUCUUGGAGACUGACUCUACCCUCUCUGCCUCAGUUUUCCUGCCUGCAAGAUGUGGAAGGGGCAUUAUGCCCCUCAGGAAUGCUAGCUGAGUGACAGCUGUUGCUAUCUUUGUCCCAGGGCUGGAAUUCUCACCAGACAGGCAGGGAGUGCUCAUGAGCUCAGGCUGCUGCCCAUGGUGCCUCCUGAUGGAAAAGUCUUCAUUGCCCAGCUACCUUGGCAUCCCCCAGCACUUCCCACACCCCUCAACAUGUCAUGAUCGGCACGAAGCCCAGGUUGAACUCAAACUCACUGUGUAGCUGUAGCUGAAGUUGACCUUGAAUCUUGGAUCAACUGAGAGUGGAGUCUGGGGUUUCAUGUCUGACAGCUGAGAUCAGCUCGUUGGCCUAGUGUGUGCUCCCCCUCCAUGCUAUAGAAACAUUGGCUUCCCUGGGUCUCUGAGAGGCUCCAUGCUUACUUCCCAGGCUCUGCUCUCCCUCCGUCUUCCAGGAUGCCCCUCUAGGAGCUGCCCCAGAGGACCUAGGAUGCCCACCUCCUCAGCAUCCCCACCUCAGGUGAGUAAAGCUCUGAGCUCACAAAGGUACAAGCAGGAACCACAGAAGGCAUCUUUGGCAUACAGUAGAUGCUGAACACACUUGAGUCCAUCAUGAGGGGGUAAUAAGUCUCACCAGCAGGAAGAGAACAGCGGCCAAGAUGAUCAGAAAUCCAAGUUAAACAUCAGUUGAAAGUCAAAUGUU
rnacentral:lncRNA from 1 species